rnacentral:rRNA from 1 species
CCUACGGGAGUCAGCAGUGAGGAAUACUGGUCAAUGGCCGGAAGGCUGAACCUGCCAAGCCGCGUGAAGGACGAAGGUGCCAAGCAUUGUAAACUUCUUUUGUCAAGGGACAAAAUCAGGCUCGAGAGCCUGCCCGAGGGUACUUGAAUAAAAAGCAUCGGGCAACUCCGUCCCAGCAGCCGCGGUAAUACGGAGGAUGCGGGCGUUAUCCGGAUUUAUUGGGUUAAAAGGGGGCGUGGGCGGACUGUUAAGCCAGCGGUAAAAGCCCGGGGCUCAACCCCGGCGAGCCGGUGAAACUGGCUGUCUUGAGAUGUCGAGAGGUAUGCGGAAUGCGCAGUGUAGCGGUGAAAUGCUUAGAUAUUGCGCAGAACUCCGAUUGCGAAGGCAGCAUACCGGCGGCGAUCUGACGCUGAGGCACGAAAGCGUGGGUAUCGAACAGGAUUAGAUACCCUUGUAGUC